GAAUUCAUUAGCUAAUUAAUUGAUUUGUGUUGCAGAGUAUGUAUAGUAAAAGUUACUAGUAGUUUGAAAUAGCUGCACAAAAUAUGUGUCUGCCAGGUGGUAGUGCGUUCUGGUGAUACAAGUCUUGAAAUUGCGACAUGAUUUGAUAACUUUAUAUACUCGCAAGAUGGCCAAACUAACUAACCGGGCGAUUUGAAAAUGUGAAGUUUGGUACCAAAUCGAGUUUUUCCGCUUAUGUUUGGCAAAUUCUUCAGCUAGUUCAAAUCGCCGGUGCGAGAAAUAAUUCCGAUCCGUUAGGCGAUAAAAAGCGAUGCGCCUAUAUCAUAAUUUUCUAAGAAAGUCAUUUUAACAAUUUUAAAGUUAUCAUGCUAAAAUCGCUGACCAAAAAAUCCGAGGCUGGUCGAGAUUGAUGACUUCGCAAACCGAAAGGUUCAGAAAAGAAUUAGCCAUAUGGUGUUGCAUUGGUUUGUUGAAUAAAUCAUCUAAAAAGAAGCCGAUAUCUGUAACUUGUUUGAAAAAUAGCGUUGUAUUAUGAGUGAGAAUGAGAACGUUUCAGAGAUCAGUGACUGUUGAGAAAUUUUCCAUCGACGGAUCAACAUUAAAAUCAAUAUGUUUUAUACAUUAGUCGAAAGGAGUCUAUCUUUUGGAAAUUUAAUUUCGGAAGAGAAUGUUGACUCACAUUAAGUGUAGUAAAGAUAGCAACAUUAGCAGGAAUGGUAAUUACGGACUCAACGACUUGCGGAAAAAGUUUUUUUUCUCCAAAUACACAUCAAUGUUUUCCCCGGCCGUUACCUUUUGAAUAUUAAAUUCUAGAAAACACACUUAGAAGUCUAUAGCGCAAAAAUCAUAUCGAAGGCAUAAUAUAAUAAUAUUCGAAAAUAACAGAUGUAUUAACUGAGAACAAAAAAGGAAAGUUUUAUGUUACAUUGUAUGAACGAGAAGCCAAGGUUUUUAGGAAAACGUUGAAAUAAAUAAAAGCCGUGAGCUUCAUAUCUAAUUUGAAAAUAAAUGUCAG